rnacentral:rRNA from 1 species
GGCCAGACUCCUACGGGAGGCAGCAGUGGGGAAUAUUGCACAAUGGGGGGAACCCUGAUGCAGCGACGCCGCGUGGGUGAAGGAGCACCUCGGUGCGUAAAGCUCUAUCAGCAGGGAAGAAGAUGACGGUACCUGAAUAAGAAGCCCCGGCUAACUACGUGCCAGCAGCCGCGGUAAUACGUAGGGGGCAAGCGUUAUCCGGAUUUACUGGGUGUAAAGGGAGCGUAGACGGUAUGGCAAGUCUGAAGUGAAAGCCCAGGGCUUAACCCUGGGACUGCUUUGGAAACUGUUAGACUAGAGUGCUGGAGAGGUAAGUGGAAUUCCUAGUGUAGCGGUGAAAUGCGUAGAUAUUAGGAGGAACACCAGUGGCGAAGGCGGCCUACUGGACGGUGACUGACGCUGAGGCUCGAAAGCGUGGGGAGCAAACAGGAUUAGAUACCCCCGUAAG